rnacentral:lncRNA from 1 species
AAAAAACAAACGGGCAACCCACCCCCGGGAAACCCAAAAUAGUUUACCCAUUUAUCCCAAAUUGACAUUGGUACAGACGCAAUUUCUCCCAAAGCCAAGUCGGCCGCCACACUUACCGUCACCGCCAGCCGACGUCGACGAAGAGCGUACAUCGCAUCCUUCACAUUUACACCAUUGGCAGCCACGAUUUGAUGUCAGUUUGCCCUAAGCUCCUACCCCAAGCAGAAUCACAGCCGCACUCACCUCAUCGCCUGGCGCCGCAUUCUCCUUCUUCCCCGGUGCCCCACUCCCCUUAGCCAUACCUCCAUCACCUAGCGAUAAUGUAAGAAUUUGUUAAAUUGUUUUUUGACAUGGAUUUUGAGAUUGGAUAAAAUGUUUUUUAUAACUACCAUGUUUGAAUUUUGAAAGUUUUCCCACUAUACAAGUUAGGAUUUUGGAUGUUGAUUUAUCUUUGUCUAUGUAAGUUACAUUUAUUAUGAGAAUUCUUGUUGUUUUAUCAAGAUGGAUGUACAUUUUAGCUUUGUCGUUCACGAUACUUUGCAUAAGUUUCUACGCUGAGAUUGAAUAAUGGGAAAAUCAAGAUGGAAUUUCCUGCAUCGGUUGUUAAGAUUGAAUACAAGGUUGUAUAAUGGGAAAAUCAAAAUUCAAACAUGGUUUUGACAAGGCUAUUGUUUAGAAGAUUGAAGCCAUUUCAGCUUAACAUGUUAAAAGGAGGGGUAGACCAAAGUUAGCACGGCCUUUUUGUGGUUGCAAAUGAUCUAGUUUCUCAGAUCUCCCAAUAGCUAUUGUAAUGAAUUAACAGAAUGCUGGAAAAGGAUUUAGUAGAAUAGUUACUCUUGCAUGCACAGUAAGCUAGUAAAUUAAUAUAUGCAUUGUUUAUGUAUGUAUAAUCAAUCAUUUAACUACAUCUUCGAGUCCAUCUUUUUGACGAGUUUGUUUCAUUUGCAGUAAUCGGCAAGAAUGAGAGGAAGAAAUUUUGGACAAUCAGGCACUCGACAAGGAAUAUGAAGAAUUGCCAAGACUCUUUGAUGGGCUAGCUAGAAAUAGAAAAAAACGAGGCGUUGACACAUAUCAUUACACAUGAUUUUUCGCAAGGGAAAAGGAAUUGCCAACUGUGACGGAAAAGGAAAGAGAUUAGAUUGAGGGGGUGAUUUGAGUCACGUCUUUGGUUGAAGCACUGGUAUAAUGUGAAUUUCAAUUUGUAUAACUAUAUAUUGGUUUUAUGUAUGUCUAAUCUGCAUUUCAAUGUGGUUUCUGAGACAAAAAUGAACUUGUGAUCCAUUCACUAGUAGAAGUAAUCUUUGGUCACAUUUGUUUCACAUUUAAAUCCUAGCAUAAAGCCCUUAUGUUUAUUAAGCAACUAGCUCUUGUACUGUAUUCAAUUGCUUUAUUUAUGACUAUGCAAAGAUGAAUAACAUAUUGUAGCACAGAAAUUCUCUGGUG